rnacentral:tRNA from 1 species
GGGGGGUUAGCUCAGUUGGGAGAGCGCCAGAAUCGCACUCUGGAGGUCGUGGGUUCGACUCCCAUACCCUCCACCA